CACAUACCUAUCCGCGUUUCUUUUAUUCAGGCCUCUAUUGGCCAUGUACUUGGGCAGCAGGGUCAAAGUGAAUAGGAACACGGCAUACCACAACAUCAGCAAGGCGCCAACUACUUCGUUCGGUUUGAAGUACGUAGAAAGAGUCUCAUUUGCCACAGUAACAAACCUACUGACACGGCCCGACCCGUUAUUGUCACGAUUCGUCUUUAGCUCGAGUUCGGCGCGGUGUUCUUCACCGCACGGAGCUCUUCUCACGUUGCUCGGAAAUUCUAAUUUGCGUUGAUCAUCGGAGCUCGUCUGGUGAUGCCUUACUUGAGAGCUUGAGAGCGUAUCGUCUAUGACUCGGAUCUCGUCUCGUUUUGCGGCGUUCGAAGGACGACCAACCAGCAAGGCUUUUCGUGCUGGAGGCUUUUUCACCGAGGAUGACUUUCUUGCUGGGGAUGUCCGCUUUGUUCUCCUGCAAGGUGAUGCCUUUCGAAA